rnacentral:rRNA from 1 species
GAUGAACGCUGGCGGCGUGCCUAAUACAUGCAAGUCGAGCGAACAGACGAGGAGCUUGCUCCUCUGACGUUAGCGGCGGACGGGUGAGUAACACGUGGAUAACCUACCUAUAAGACUGGGAUAACUUCGGGAAACCGGAGCUAAUACCGGAUAAUAUAUUGAACCGCAUGGUUCAAUAGUGAAAGACGGUUUUGCUGUCACUUAUAGAUGGAUCCGCGCCGCAUUAACUAGUUGGUAAGGUAACGGCUUACCAAGGCAACGAUGCGUAGCCGACCUGAGAGGGUGAUCGGCCACACUGGAACUGAGACACGGUCUAGACUCCUACGGGAGGCAGCAGUAGGGAAUCUUCCGCAAUGGGCGAAAGCCUGACGGAGCAACGCCGCGUGAGUGAUGAAGGUCUUCGGAUCGUAAAACUCUGUUAUUAGGGAAGAACAAAUGUGUAAGUAACUAUGCACGUCUUGACGGUACCUAAUCAGAAAGCCACGGCUAACUACGUG